UCUAGCUCUGGCAACCGGAGCCGCUUUUCCGGCGGGUUUUCCGGCCAUCCGACCUCCGGCCACGCACAACACCCACCACCUCCACUCUCCGCCUUAAACCACCAUCACCCUCUCAUCUCUCUGUUACAAUAACAUCAUCGGAGUUCAUGGGAUACGUCACCAGACACUACCGGAGAUACACGGGGACCGAUGGAAGCCGUUUCUUCUUGUUUCGAAGUUCGCCGGGACAUUCGGAAUUCGCGACAGAACAUACGGAUCAACGUCUUGGCCACUGUUAAAGUAUAUUAACUUUUGAUUUCAAGCACCGAGGAAAGCCGACAUCAUCGGAGAAUGUAUUCGUCACGGGAACAAUCCUGUCGUCGCCGGAGAUCGGAAACCCGCGAGUGUUCUUUCGAUUCGGAUAACCAAUACGCUCGCUCUCUUAGAUUCUUCUAAAUCUCUACUCGUGCGAUAAUUCAAGGAAUCCUCAAACGCAACCAAUGAUUCUGAUGAAGCAGUAAAUCUAGUAGGAUUGCCUAGAAACGCAUUUAAACUUUAAUACUUGUUGUAUCGUAAUUUAUUUUCAAGCAUGUUGUAUUUUGUUUCCAAACCUUGUAUUAAACCGUUUUUA